AUCCAGCUGAGGAGUCCCAAAUAGGACCAAACGCGCGUUCCGGAU
rfam:Schistosoma mansoni strain Puerto Rico chromosome 1, complete genome